GAUGAACGCUGGCGGCGUGCUUAACACAUGCAAGUCGAACGGAAAGGCCCUGCUUGCAGGGUACUCGAGUGGCGAACGGGUGAGUAACACGUGGGUGAUCUGCCCUGUACUUUGGGAUAAGCCUGGGAAACUGGGUCUAAUACCGAAUAUGACAAUUGUUUGGAUGCGAUUGUGGAAAGCUUUUGCGGUAUGGGAUGAGCUCGCGGCCUAUCAGCUUGUUGGUGGGGUAAUGGCCUACCAAGGCGUCGACGGGUAGCCGGCCUGAGAGGGUGUACGGCCACAUUGGGACUGAGGUACGGCCCAGACUCCUACGGGAGGCAGCAGUGGGGAAUAUUGCACAAUGGGCGCAAGCCUGAUGCAGCGACGCCGCGUGGGGGAUGACGGCCUUCGGGUUGUAAACUCCUUUCGCAACCGACGAAGCCUUUUGGUGACGGUAGGUUGAGAAGAAGCACCGGCUAACUACGUG
rnacentral:rRNA from 1 species